rnacentral:lncRNA from 1 species
GGCCACCUAAAAAACUGUUCUUCAAAAGCAAGCUUGUUUAAGUUCCAUAAGUUGCUUAGCACAAAAAAUAAAGGAUCAUACAGAAAUAAAUGGUCCAGGGCCCUGGUGGGAUUCCAUGUAGCAUGGAGUCUGGGCCUUAGCAGCUUAACUCCCUGCAAAAAAAAAAAAAAAAAAAAAAAAAAAAGAAAAGAAAAGGGAAGUAUACCCUACUGGGGAAUGGAAGUUUAGGGAAGCCAUUCCAAAGGCCUCAAGUUCUGAGCCAGCCACAGAGACCAUGGCCCAGGCGAUGUGCCAGCAUCAACAGGGCAAUGACAGUGACACAGAGCAGCCAGGACUACGCUGGGCAGGGGAUGCCUGGACUUCAUGUCCGCAGGUGUACCCAUAAAAGAGGAGUGACUGGGGCCAUCUCACAGCUACCACCUGGAAUCUUAAAAGCCCAUGGAACUAUGAGAGAGGACAAUUGGUGGGAACAAGUAGGAAAAAAGAUACAUCUGCACCUCUAAGCUAGUGUCAUCAGGAGACAUCUGAUCCGGCCUAAAUGACUGUUUUAGAAGAAAGUGGAUAUUCCACCAGUCAAUCAAGAAAUUUCCACAGAAGAUAAAAGGCAAGCAGAUUGAAUAUGGGAAUUUACCCAAUUCCAAGAGAAUUUGUUGUGUCCUGCAAUCAUUUGGUUUUACAUCUGUGUCCCAUCUAGGAGCAGUCACCCAGUCAUUUAACCAAAUACCAAAUCCUUAAAUUGUCUGCAAAUACACUGCGGUUCAUUUGGGUAGAUUUCUUUUUAAAGAAAGUCUAUAUAUUAUUAUUAAAAUAAUAGCACAUGUUUAUUAGUAGACAAUUUAGAAAGUAUAUUCAAACCAAAAAAUAAAAGAAAAUGAAAUUAUCCAUAUUUUCC